rnacentral:rRNA from 1 species
GACGUAGGGCGCGAGCGUUGUCCGGAUUUAUUGGGCGUAAAGAGCGUGUAGGCGGCUCGGUAAGUCCGCUGUGAAAGUCCAGGGCUCAACCCUGGAAUGCCGGUGGAAACUGUCGGGCUAGAGUCCGGAAGAGGCGAGUGGAAUUCCUGGUGUAGCGGUGAAAUGCGCAGAUAUCAGGAGGAACACCAAUGGCGAAGGCAGCUCGCUGGGACGGUACUGACGCUGAGACGCGAAAGCGUGGGGAGCAAACAGG